rnacentral:lncRNA from 1 species
UUCGCUUCUGUGUCUCAUCGUGCUCAACCCCAGUGCCCGAUCUAGGGUUUCAGCCGCCGCCUCCUUUCCCCAGGGCGCCGCCGCCUCCUUCCCCAGGGCGUCGCCGCCUCCAACCUCAUCUACGUCGUCGCUGCCUCCAACCUCAACAUCGUCGCUGCGGCUUCCUUUCCCCACGGCCGCGACCGCCUCCAACCUCAUCUACGUCGUCCCCGCCUCCGUCCUCCACUCCGUUGCUGCGGUUUCCUUUCCCCACGGCUGCCGCCCCAUCCCUUCCCACAGCUGCC